UACAGAGGUCCCGAGCGUUGUUCGGAUUCAUUGGGCGUAAAGGGUGCGUAGGCGGCGGGGCAAGUCUGAUGUGAAAUCCCGGGGCUCAACCCCGGAACUGCAUUGGAUACUGCCUUGCUCGAGUACUGGAGAGGGAACUGGAAUUUACGGUGUAGCAGUGAAAUGCGUAGAUAUCGUAAGGAAGACCAGUGGCGAAGGCGGGUCUCUGGACAGUUCCUGACGCUGAGGCACGAAGGUCAGGGGAGCAAACGGG
rnacentral:rRNA from 1 species